AGUGAACGCUGGCGGUAGGCCUAACACAUGCAAGUCGAACGGCAGCACAGUAAGAGCUUGCUCUUACGGGUGGCGAGUGGCGGACGGGUGAGGAAUACAUCGGAAUCUACUUUUUCGUGGGGGAUAACGUAGGGAAACUUACGCUAAUACCGCAUACGACCUACGGGUGAAAGCAGGGGAUCUUCGGACCUUGCGCGAUUGAAUGAGCCGAUGUCGGAUUAGCUAGUUGGCGGGGUGAAGGCCCACCAAGGCGACGAUCCGUAGCUGGUCUGAGAGGAUGAUCAGCCACACUGGAACUGAGACACGGUCCAGCCUCCUACGGGAGGCAGCAGUGGGGCAUAUUGGACAAUGGGCGCAAGCCUGAUCCAGCCAUACCGCGUGGGUGAAGAAGGCCUUCGGGUUGUAAAGCCCUUUUGUUGGGAAAGAAAAGCAGCAGGUUAAUACCCCGCUGUUCUGACGGUACCCAAAGAAUAAGCACCGGCUAACUUCGUG
rnacentral:rRNA from 1 species